rnacentral:misc_RNA from 1 species
UGGGUUGGCGGGCUCCGUGCUUCGGCAUCGAACCGUCCGCGCGCACACCACGUCAGUUACGCAUCAAGAUCUUCUUGUGCAAAAAAAUGGAUUCCUGUGCAUUCUACCUAUCGUAAAGGUAUGACGCCUCUCGCUGACCCUUUCCUUCCUUGACCCAUGUGGCCAGGGAGGACUUCGUAGCGGCGCCUGCGCACCCCGCAUUGUGCUUUGCGCAUUGCGACGGUAUUUAGGUUGCUGCUUGUUGCCUCGGAUACGGUACAUUCGGUGGGCUUGGGGUCCUAGUACCCUCGUUGUCCGAAAUUCCGAGCGUUACGACGCUAGAGAUGCACGACUGCCAUGCUCGUUCCGGGCUAUCUCGUGCGGGCUUGGUGUCGGCAAAGGAAUGCUACCUGGUU